AAUUCUACAAUAUCUACCACUCGUAUAACCGCAAGGAUUGGCUUGCAAGUUUCUACCAGGAAACCGUAAUUUCCUGACUACGAGUGAACAUUAUCGUGCU
rnacentral:ncRNA from 2 species